CGCGGGCCUGGCGCGGCGUCGCGCCGCGCCGGCCUCUCCCCCUGCGCCCCCGUCAGCGGCUUUGGGGCAUCGCGGGGACCCGGUAGGAAGGUGGGAGAAAUAGCUUUCUGAAGAAGUAUUAGAAAAGUCAGUGAAACAAGAACCUUAAGAAGUGAAUGCAAUCAAAAUGGGGGCUCAGCCUGACUUCUCUGUCUAUCAGUAUUUGAUGUGAAAACACAAGUGUAGCUGACAAAGUCUGCGACUGGAACUGAAGUACCUGCAAGGACAGUUCCCCUCAGGCUCAGGUCAUGUUCUCUAGAUCUCUGAUUGAUGAUUCUCAUUUUACUCUCUGUGCUGCAUGCUGUCAGCAUCAUUCAACAGCAACGUAAGAGACAACAUUUUGCAUCACAUUUAUGAAAACUUUGCCCCACUGUUAACUGCAUGAAAUCUUGAAUAAAAAUAUCUAGACUCUUG